rnacentral:rRNA from 1 species
GACUCUCGGCAAUGAAUAUCACGGCUCUCGCAUCGAUGAAGAACGUAGCGAAAUGCGAGGCAACCGAGGAUUCCUGACAUGCCAACGCUCUUCAGGGCAUAGAUAGCCGUGGUAUCA